rnacentral:rRNA from 1 species
GACGAACGCUGGCGGCGUGCUUAACACAUGCAAGUCGAACGGAAAGGCCCUGCUUUUGUGGGGUGCUCGAGUGGCGAACGGGUGAGUAACACGUGAGUAACCUGCCCUUGACUUUGGGAUAACUUCAGGAAACUGGGGCUAAUACCGGAUAGGAGCUCCUGCUGCAUGGGGGGGGUUGGAAAGUUUCGGCGGUUGGGGAUGGACUCCCGGCUUAUCAGCUUGUUGGUGGGGUAGUGGCUUACCAAGGCUUUGGCGGGUGGCCGGCCUGAGAGGGUGACCGGCCACAUUGGGCCUGAGAUACGGCCCAGACUCCUACGGGAGGCAGCAGUGGGGAAUAUUGCACAAUGGGCGGAAGCCUGAUGAAGCAACGCCGCGUGCGGGAUGACGGCCUUCGGGUUGUAAACCGCUUUCGCCUGUGACGAAGCGUGAGUGACGGUAAUGGGUAAAGAAGCACCGGCUAACUACGUG